UACGUAGGGCGCAAGCGUUGUCCGGAAUUAUUGGGCGUAAAGAGCUCGUAGGCGGUUUGUCGCGUCGGCUGUGAAAUCCCGAGGCUCAACCUCGGGCCUGCAGUCGAUACGGGCAAACUAGAGUGUGGUAGGGGAGACUGGAAUUCCUGGUGUAGCGGUGAAAUGCGCAGAUAUCAGGAGGAACACCGGUGGCGAAGGCGGGUCUCUGGGCCAUUACUGACGCUGAGGAGCGAAAGCGUGGGGAGCGAACAGG
rnacentral:rRNA from 1 species